CUUAGAGCGGCCCUUAGAGUAAAAGCAAUGGAGCUGCAGACAAAAGAUGUCAGUUCCCAAAACUAAAAUGUCCUUGGUGUUGUCACAGAUAGACACAAACAAUGUGUUGCUGCUUCGUUUCUUGGCCAUUUAUGUAACAUUUGCACACAUUUGAUGUGAGCAGUAGUUUCAGCACAAUUCACUAUAAGAGUUGCAGGAAUUUUCUUUCAGCUCCACUGACUAUAGUGUGCAGUGACUGUGUAUCUACCGAUUAACAAACUACUGAGCAUGCGCUGUCACCUGGUGGAUUGUAGCUGCCGCUUGUGAUUGGAUAACGAAAAGCGGAAGGAAGUGGUAAUACUUCAUGGCCGGGUGACGUUUGCAAAAUGGCGCUGUGUGAAGGCACAGAGAAAAUGGUUUGCUAUUACUACGACGGUACGUAGUUCUAUCUCUGGUUCUCUUCACUUUGGCGAUUAACGCGUCAUGUGAAGGACCAGUAUUCCACAGAGCGUGCGGAAGAUUUGUUUGAAACCGUGAUCACGCUGAACUGCCGAGUGGGGCAGCCGGUUAGCAUGCUAAAUGCUAAACAAUAGCCUCUGCCGCACGGUUUACACAUUCAAACUAGUUCUGACUGCUUCAGUCAGCGUGUGAUUCAAUUGUACGAGAUACCGCUUUGUUAUUAGGUCUUUUAAAUAUCUGCACGAAGACCAUUUGGUUUGAAUGAUCCAAAUAUUUUGGGCGUUGCGACUUCAGCCAAGUGUUAGUGAAGCAGCAACUUGUUCUGUGGUGAACGUUUCCUUCAAAGCGGUGCUUGCACUUUGUAGUGCAUUGAAACGUUGAGACAUCUAUGAAGAGCAGGGCACAUUAUUGUCGAGGGUAAGUAUUUAUGUUUUCAUUAUUUGUGUGUCCGUGCACGUAUGGUGUAGCAGAAGACCGGUGGACUCUACGACGCCAAGAAGUUCGAUGCAUCUGGUUUCUGUUACGUGAACGACAUCGUCCUGGCCAUUUUUGAGCUGCUCCAGUAAGAGAAGCUUGUCAAGUUUUGUCACCGGAAAUGACACUUUUUGACAGCAUUUACAGUGUGAAAUGUUUACAGUAUGUCGGGGCUGGACUGAACAAAUACACAUAGUGAAUUACCGACGAAGCCAUCUUUAAACCGGUAAGUAUGUUAUACUGCGAGUGCGAUUUAGCUUUGUUUUUUCCAACUUAUCAGUGUUUUUUUUUAUUUUUAAAUGUAUGCAUCUUGGGUUUAGAUCAUGGCCAAAGUAAUGGAGAUGAGUUCAGUGUUCCUUCAGUGUGCAGCCAGACUGGGCUGCUUCAACCUCACUAUUAUAGGCCUAAAGAGGUUUAACCAAGUUCCACUCCUGAUGAUGGGGUCUUUGUUGAAUCCUGUGAACACAUGUGGUUGACAGUAGUUGUGAGUAUGUGAUCUGUCCAUCUUUACCUGAAGUGUUAAAGUAAAGCUAAGAGUUACUGUUGUAAUUUGACUUGUAUCGUUUUGAAAUGUGUAUUUAUAGACUAGAAUGCAUGUUUUGGAAAUGUGAAGCGUUUUGCUAAUAAAAUGGUAAAAAGUUA